rnacentral:rRNA from 1 species
UACGUAGGGGGCAAGCGUUGUCCGGAAUCAUUGGGCGUAAAGCGCGUGUAGGCGGCUUGGUAAGUCUGCUCUGAAAGCCCGGGGCUCAACCCCGGGGAGGCGGGUGGAUACUGUCAAGCUCGAGUCCGGAAGAGGAGUGUGGAAUUCCUGGUGGAGCGGUGAAAUGCGCAGAUAUCAGGAGGAACACCCGUAGCGAAGGCGGCACUCUGGGCCGAUACUGACACUGAGGAGCGAAAGCGUGGGGAGCGAACAGG